rnacentral:sRNA from 1 species
CACUCCGGUCCGGAGUCAGUGGGUUAUCAAACUCAGAUUCCCCUCCCAGUCCCAUUGACACCAACUUGACCGAUAGU